UUUGGUCGAAAAUAAACUCCGUUGCGGUCUUGCCAUAUACUCCACAAGAGGGGAUGCUGUCCAAAUCUGAGCCGUCCAAGGGCAUAACAACAACGUGUGUUCGAUCGUCUCAGCUUCGUGCUUGCAGAUGGGGCAAAGUGGGUCAGGUACUAUUUUCCUUCGGUGAAGGUUGUCCAUAGUAGGCAAUGCAUUUUGGCUGAUAUUCCAGAGAAAUUGUUUCACUUUGGGUAGUGUGUCUGAGUGCCAAAUAUGUUUCCAUAGAUCUGGAUUUGUUUGAUGAGAGGAUGUUGCUGAUGUAAGUGGUGGUUUGACUGCUCUGUUUCUUGUUGUAAAAUACCCACUCUUUACUGUAUACGACCCUGAAUUGUUGCGCAUCCAUA